rnacentral:rRNA from 1 species
GAUGAACGCUGGCGGCGUGCCUAAUACAUGCAAGUCGAGCGAACGGACGAGAAGCUUGCUUCUCUGAUGUUAGCGGCGGACGGGUGAGUAACACGUGGAUAACCUACCUAUAAGACUGGGAUAACUUCGGGAAACCGGAGCUAAUACCGGAUGAUAUUUUGAACCGCAUGGUUCAAAAGUGAAAGACGGUCUUGCUGUCACUUAUAGAUGGAUCCGCGCUGCAUUAGCUAGUUGGUAAGGUAACGGCUUACCAAGGCAACGAUGCAUAGCCGACCUGAGAGGGUGAUCGGCCACACUGGAACUGAGACACGGUCCAGACUCCUACGGGAGGCACCAGUAGGGAAUCUUCCGCAAUGGGCGAAAGCCUGACGGAGCAACGCCGCGUGAGUGAUGAAGGUCUUCGGAUCGUAAAACUCUGUUAUUAGGGAAGAACAUAUGUGUAAGUAACUGUGCACAUCUUGACGGUACCUAAUCAGAAAGCCACGGCUAACUACGUG